AUGAGAGCGAAAGCCAAGUGCGUGAUUCCCCACAGCUGCCUUUCCCGUAACAGGCAGAAGCGACCCACGUGCCCAUCCCAGGGGUGGAGUGUUCGUACCUCAGACCCACCACGUAGCAGUGAGCGAGGACGUGCGGGUGCCACACACGUCACGUGGACACAUCCCACAGACACAUUACGGAGCCAAGGGGUGCACCCUGUGUGAGUCCAUUUAGGUGAAGUUCAAAAGCAGGUGCCAGAAGCUGGGGGAGAGCCCUCAGCAGAGCGGCGGAGUGAUGCUGGCGGGCGAGGGGCACCACAGCUGCUGGGAGGGCCCUGGCAGAUGGGCCUCAUCUCCCAAACGAGAGUGGCCUGUCUGUACGAGUCCUGUCUACACAAGACUUUGCUCCGUCUUCGGUUCAUCCAGACUUACGUUUUGGCCUCCUCUGCACAAAAUCUCACCCCCCUCCCCACCCCCGGUGUUACUAUAGGCGUUCCUGGGCUUGUUCUUCCCAGCGGAAAAGAAACCUCAAGAUUCGCGUUUCCUCUUGAAAUAGAGAAGAGAGGGUUCUCCCCAAUUCCUCAUUACAGAUAAUAACCUCCUAUUCUAUUUUUCUUUUGCUGAGUCAAGGAGAUUGGACUUAAAUUGUCUUUUUAGUGCUUAUUUCUAAAGUGGACAUGGUUUUGCUGGAAGAGGUCAACUGUUUUUAUUCCUCCAAGGAGUUAUUAUCAUUAUGACUGGAGCAUAAGGACUUGGUCCUAUUAAACUUAAUUUGGAGGUGGGAGCCCUUUCAAACUAAAAAAAAUAAGAACACAAACCUAAUAAUUUUGGGCCUAAGCCUGUUCUGUUCUUCGGUGAAAUAAGUAUACAAUUUGGUUCAGUAUCCUUCAAGGACAACUGAAUUUGCAAAGAAAGUUUCCCAACGUCAGAUGCUAAAAGCUUUGCUUUUGAGGGCGGAAUGUUCAGGUAGUUCUGGGUGAUGGUAAUGGUGUUAGAUUCCUGAAGGCAGAGGGGCAGUGAAGCAUCUGUAGCCAGGACGUGUCGUCUGCCCAGGAGAAGGGCAUUGGGUCUCAGAGCUACUGAGCAGGAACUCGGCUUGCUCUCUGCCAGCCUUGCUGACUUGGGGUUCCUGGGCCCUUGGGAGCCUCGGGUUCUGCAGCAGUGCACUGUGAUAGAAAGUGCCAGGCCUGAGACGUCAGGCAGACUCGGGUUCGAUCCUCUAUCUCCCCACCUCCCCUGGGCAGGUGGCACCCCUGCCCCUGAGCCCACGUCCUCAUCAGGAGAAGGGCUGACCUUGUACCGUCUGCCUUGCGGCUUCACAUGCAGGUGAGAGGCGAGGCAUGCAGAGGGCCCAGAACACAGUAGGUGCUUCACAUGUGGCAAGUGUUAGCGUUGAAGGUAUUUCUGUUUUGUUGGAAUUCUGGAAAGUACCAUUUUACUCUCGGGUCUGGCAGCAGGUAACUCCACUCUUGCCAGAUUCUCAUCGAGCUUUGCUAAUGGAAGGGACCAGGAUUUGAGCAACGUCCAGACAACAGCAGAAGCUGAGAACAGAGAGAGGUGCUUGACCUGAAGUGUGUUGCUGGUCUCUGCGGACCCUGCCACUAACUCCACUCCCCUCCCCUCGUUAUCAAAUGGCCUCCAGGCAGAACAGAAGCCAGGGCCAGAAAUGCCCACUGGCCACUCUUUACCUUCGAGGCCCUCAGGCUAACGAUGCUGGCAGAGGCAGGACAGCCGCUGAACAGGAUGGAAACAUCUAGAACCUUCUCUGCCCCUGGCUUCCCCCUUGGGCAUCAGUUCUCACCGCCCAGUGUUCCCCAGAGGCUGGUCCCUCGCUCAGAGAGAAGCUGAGCUUUGAAGAAAGAGGCUUCAGGGAUAGUUCUGCUCUUGCCUUUCUCCCUGAGUAUGAGAUCCUCCUAAAUCAAGCUCAAGGUCAGACCUCCUGAUUCUGUGAACACCUUGGGCUCCACAGUAAAGUGGGGGUGGAAGAGGCCCAGAAGUCCUUGCAGUUUGUGAAUCGCCUGAGGACACAGGAGACCAGAGCCGGGGAGGCUGCACAGGAACCUAGAGAGCAUCCAGUUCACCCCCCCUGCAUUUUAUGCAUGCGGACGCGAGGCCUGGAAGAAGCUGGGCUGGUCCCAGGAUGCACAUGCGGUGGCUGGAGAGGCCACAGCAUCCGUUCUCGGGAAGAGCUGCUUUCAUGUACCCCUGAGAAAUAACAUGUUUGGGGAUUCGUGUCAGUGGAGCUUUUUAAGGGAAGGGCAUAGUAAGUUGUGUUUUUAUUUUAUUUAUUUUUUUGGCUUUCUGUCUUUUUUUUAGAGCCGCAUCCAUGGCACAUGGAGGUUCCUAGGCUAGGGUCCAGAGCUACAGCUGCUGGCCUACACCACAGCCACAGCCUCAGAUCUGAGCCAUGGAUCCUUAAUCCACUGAGGGAGGCCAGGGUUCGAACCUGCAACCUCCCAGUUCCUAGUCAGAUUCAUUUCCACUGAGCCACAGUGGGAACUCAGUGUGUUUUUGUUUAAAAACGUGAAUGACCUGCAGUACAAUCUGUGCUGAGCUCUGGGUCUAAGGCUCAGCCGUGAUCUGCAUACCUGUUCUUUCCUAAGCCAAGAUCUUACGGUGGAGCCCAUAGAGCUGUAAUAAAUGUGGCUUCAGUGACAGUGCUUCUUCACCUUUGCAGAAUUUCGUGAUGAUGAUGGGGAUAACAACACCAAUAGUAGUAAUAGCAGCGACACUUAAGACAGGUUUUUUUGGCCAUGCUCACAGCGUGUAGAAGUUCCCAGGCCAGAGAUUGAACCUGUGCCACAGGUAGUGACCUGAGCUGCUGCAGGGACAACGCCGGAUCCUUAACCCACUGCUCCAGCAGGGAACUCCAACACUUACGACAUUUUUAUAAAUGCUUUCAGGCAUGGUUUUUUUGUGAGGAGUGGGGUUAUACCCAUUUCUCAGAUGAGUAAACUGAACUCUGAAAGAAGCAAUUUGUCUAACAUCACAGAACAUGGUAGGUGGUGGAGGCGCUGAGCUUCUGGGAUCCCCUGCAGUUUGUGAGCCCGCUGUGACCGUCUUGAUGUCUCAGCAGAGCCCAGUCCCCAUCAGUCAAACCACUGGAGGGGGUUAAUGUUAAAGCUGAUCAAGAUCAGAGACUCAGGAAGUCCACACCAUUGUCAGUUCCCAGUGGCAGCCUAACCAGUAGAUUACACUUUUUUUUUCUUUUUACAGCUGCACCUGUAGCAUGUGGGAGUUCCCAGCUCCGGAAGUUCCCAGAGCUGCAGCUGCGGCCUACACCACAGCCACGGCAACACCAGAUCCGAGCCACAUCUGCAGCAUGGGUCACAGCUUGUGUCAACACCAAAUCCUUAACCCACUGAGCAAGGUCAGAGAUCGAACCCACAUCCUCAUGGAGACUUACAUCAGGUUCUUAACCCACUGAGCCACGUGGGAGCUCAUUCAGUUACAUUUUUAAUUGUUCGUUUAAUUGAACACUCACAUGGUAUCUUCUAUGGACUGGGCCCCAUUCUAAGCCCAUGGCAUGUGGGAACUCAUUUAAUCCCCCCAAGACCCAGUGAGAGGUAAUAUUAUCAUCCUCAUUUCUCAAAGGAGGGAGCGGAGGCACAGAGAAGUGUAGUAACUUUCUCAGGGCGCCCAGCAGUGCGCAGCAGAACCGAGAUUUGAAUUGGGGGAGUUUGGCCGCAGAGCAUGUGCUCUUAGCUUCCAUGCUUUGUAUCUCCUUGCUGAUCACUCAGUCUCGAUGUCACAUCCCCUCCCCUCCCACACAAGGAGCUUGCUCCCCUCCCUGCCCUGGUCAUCACGCCCGUGACAUUGCCCUGGCGUGUUUAUUCAUAUCUUCAAUCUAGGUGGCCUUCCCCAAGCCCUGGUCCCCUGGAGCCAGACAUCAAGGAGGAUGUGGGAUGAGGAGGGGACAGUAGUCUCAGCAGUCCUUUGACUUAUAAAAGGAAGGGUUGGACUCAUGGACCCUGGCCUUUCGAAGCUCUGAGUUCUUGAAUGCCUGCUGUCCCCCUUAGCAGGGGGUGCUGCUAGGAGACAGUUGGAAGGCCAGGGGAUGAAGCUAUUUCUAGAACAGGGUAUUUGAUCUGAACAGUUUUAAGACUGUUUUAAAGAAUGCAAGCACAUUGGCACCAUCCUCGUUGUAAGGAAAUUUGUGAGCUUAAGAAAUUUAAGGCUUUUUUAAUUUUAAGAAUUUUGAAGGAUUAAAGAAAUUUAAAGAAACUGCAGGCAAGUUGGCACCGCCCUGGUUUGCCAAAGCAGGAGAUGGAGCCUAAAGUAAGAUGAUUGCGCUGAUGCAGGAGCUUCCCAGGCCCAGAGCAGCUGCCCACUCCACCGGCCCCAGAACCCAGUCUCUGGCAUGAGCCUCCUCCACGGACAGUUGUUGAAGGAGUUUGAACAGGGGAGGUGAAAAUGAAAGGAAUGGGGGGAAAGUGGGAGGGGCCAGAAGAGCCACCGAGAGCCUGCCCUAGCGGUCCAGCCAGGGGCGGGGCUGACUCUGGAGGUGGGCUCGGCAGACCCCCCCCCACCCCCAGUACUUGGAUGUGAGAGCAAAGAACAUCCCUGGUCAGCGCUGAUGCCCAGAUUUCUGGCUCAGGCAGCUGAGCGGUCCAUCCAUGGCGAGAGCGAGGUGCAGGAGGAGGAGAGGCUUUGCAGUGUAGACCCUGCGUGUGGAUGUAGACACAGAUUUUAUCAGGUCCUCAGUCUGGAGUUCCCAUCAGAGAUCCAGACUAGAGAUGAAGAUUUGGAAGUCAUUGACCGAAACAUCAACUGUGCCCCCUCGAGAGUGGACCCUCAUGAGGGGAAGAAGGGGCCCAGGGAAAGUCUCCACCUUUAAUGAACGGGCCGCAGAGGAGGUCCCCCCGUGGAAGGCCAAGAAGGGCCGUCAGAGAAGCAGGAGGGACUCGAGGCUUUCACAGAGUGAAGCAUUUGACUCUUCAAUGUGUUAUGAAAAAUGUAGAAUCAGAAUGUAUAACUCACAUUAGAGCUGCCAGUUUUUAUCGUUGUGGGAGAGGUUUUUAAGUCGCAUAUUGACAUUCACUGAUUGCAGGUUAUAACAUCUACUUAUCACUGGAGGCUUUACUUUCUGGGUUGUUCUUAGUCAUGGAAUUUUUAAAAAUGCAUCGAUCUCUUUCCCGCUCUUUUGCCUUGCGACACAGUUGCUAUGUGUCCCUGGAAGGCUUGAGGGCCUGUAAAAGGUGAUGCAACAGCCUUUAUAUUUUUCAUGCCCCUAAAGGGUUCUCGUGAUUCAGAUGAAGCAGUUUUAUGCUCCAGUUGCGCUUGUCCCAUCUGGACGGGACUUUCCAUCCAGUCAGGCCGAUGUCACUAUUCCGGCCUCUCCCCCCUUCCCCACGUCUCUCUCCACCUCCUCCGCGUGGUGGUGUACGUGAUGCCAGCCAUAGCUGGCUGUGUGGCUGAUAUACCCAAAGACUCUCCAGCCCACCUCGUGAGCACGUGCUUUUAUCCACCUCCGUUGUGCUUUUAUCCACCUCCGUUGUAUAGACGAGGAAACCCAUAGAGAGGAGGCAUAAUCUGUGCUUUACAUCGGGGCUCCCCAGAUUGCCCUUUGUCUUAGUCCACUUGCUGUAACAAAGGGCUGUAGACUCGGUGCCUUAAACAAGGAACAUCUGUUCUCCGCAGCCCUGGAGGCUGGCAAGUCCAAGAUCAGGGCACCAGCAGAUGUCUGGUGAGAACCCAUUUCCUGGUUCACAACCGCUGUCUUCUCCCCAUCUUCACAUGGUAGAAGGGGCGAAGGAUCUCCCUGGGCAUCUUUUAUAAGGGUGCUGGUCUCAUUCAUGAUGUGUACGUGAUGCCAGCCAUAGCUGCAUGGCUUAUAUGCCCGGAGACUCUCCAGCACCACCCUCAUGACCUACUCACCUCCCAGGGCCACCGCCUCGGGGGUUAGGAUUUCAACAUAACACAUCGUUGGGGUUGGAGAUGCAGACAUUCAGACUGUAACACCCACUCAUCAGCAUCACCAGAAAAGCUUUGCGAUGUUAUGUAUGAACCCCUGAGUCCCAGAGGUCAACGUGGCCCUGAGGGCUGGGAACAUUUGGAAAGCAUUGCCCCAUUCACACUAGAUUUGGAUAUAUUGCUAGCAAAAUAGCAAUAAUGAGGACUUUCUGAAUCUCUAGAUCAGUGAUCAGAAAAGGUUUUUGUUUUUUGUUUUUUUGUUUUUUCUUUGUAAAGGAACAGGAAAUAAAUAUUUUUCAGCUUUGCAGGCCACAUGGUCUUUGCUGUGACCACUCAGCUCUGCCAUUGCAUUGUGAGAACAGCUAUAAAUAAUAGGUAAACAGACACAGCGAUUUGACCCACUGGCUCAUAGUUUAUCUCCCUUGAUCUAGAUAAUAAGUCGUGCUCAUGAUGUUCAGACGAGCAGUUGAACUUGCCACUCUCCAGGGAAUGUUUGGACUUGGGUAAGAAUAUAUUGCAAGCAGGUAACAGUCCACUCAAGAUGUAUCGGGGCAAGAUUGCAUUCAGCCACUGGUAUGAAGACCUCUAAAACAAUAGCAUGAGCAAAUUAGAGGUGACUAUUUCUCUUUUGUUCAAAAGAAAAGUUUUGACUAGAUAGUGUAGUAUUUGUUGUGCUGGCCCCAUGAUGUCAUCAGACACCCACAGUCCUAUCUUUCUACUUCCAUUUUCAGGAUUGCCUCAUGAUCAUGAAAUGAUUGCUAGAGCACCAGCCAUCACAUCUGUGUUUGAGAAAGAAAAAGACAGGUAGAAGAGUAAAAAGGCACUUGUCACCUGAGUUAGAACUCUCCUAAGAACUGUCCUUAGAAGCCCCAAAUGGUGAUUUUUGCUUGUAUCUCAUUAGCUGCUCUUACCUGCAAGGGACACAGGAAAAGAUAGUUAGAAAAUUUUUCAUCCUGAAUACAUUGCUACCCCCAGAAAUACUGAGGGAAACUGAUACUGAACGAGGAACUUGCACUUGCUGUGACUUGCGAGGAUGCAAAAUGCCCCAGAUGUGCUGUGGGAAAGUCUCGUGAGCUCUGCUGGGUUUAUUUGCUAAUGAUGCAUCAUGUCUCAGUCCGGGGAGACUGAACGCCUGACGUCCCUAUUCUCCACAACUAGCCAGGCCUCUCCAGAUGCCUCUGGGCUCUAAUGUAUCCUUGACUGCUGUAAAUCAAAUCCUUGCAUGAUUGUGAUCACAAUCCUGGCAGUUGGCACACCACUGCUGGGACACCUGCUGCCACGAAACCUUUUGAGACAAACUCUUUUCCUCUCUGGGCAGCUUUGGCUGCUCUAAAGGUCCUUCCUAAAUAAAGUCUGUCUUUCUCUAGUUUCUCUCUGCUGGAAGUUUGCCUCCUGGAAUCAUCAGAGGGGCGUCUGUCUUCUUCUUUCCAGGCUUCCCAGGAGUUCAGAGAGCUCUACCUCUUGCACUUGAGGCUCAGGUUAUCAUCCUUCAAUAUCUCCCGUCUUCCUUCCGAUAAUUUGAUUGCAGAUCAGCGCCUAGGGCUUCUGAACUCGAAAGUGUGUAUGAACCUCGUGCGGUCCUGGUUAAAGUGCAGAUUCUGAGUCAGUAACCUGGGGUGGAGGCCGAGAUGUUGCAUUUCUGCCAUCUUAGCACGUGAUGCCAAUGCUGCUGGUCCAUGGACUGCACUUUACUGAGUAGCAAGUAGUCUGGGCCUUUCUGAACAUAUUUCAGCUCAUCUUUCAAUAGGCAGCAGCCAAAAGCUAAGUUGGUUUGGUCAAUUUAGAACAGAAUAAGGGAGUCCCCAUUGUGGCUCAGCAAAAACAAAUCUCACUAGUAUCCAUAAAGACACAGGUUCGAUCCCUGGCCUUGCUCGGUGGGUUGGGGAUCCGGUGUUGCCAUGAGCUGUGGUGUAGGUUGCAAACGUGGCUCGGAUCCCUUGUCGCCGUGACUGUGGCGUAGGCCAGCAGCUGUAGCUCCAGUUACACCCCUAGCCUGGGAACCUCUAUAUGCCACAGGUACGGCCCUAAACAGAAAAAAAAAAAAAAAAAAAAAAAAAGGGGAAGAUUUCAAUUUCAACUCCUUUAUUCUAGAAGAUAUCAUAUACCUUUCUGUAAGGUCGAAAGUGUACAUGGGCUGGCGUUCCUGCUAUGGUGCAACGGGAUUGGCAGCUUCUCUCUGGCACCAGGAUGCAGGUUCGAUCCCCGGCCUGGCACAGCGGACUAAAGGAUCUGGCACUGCCACAGCUGCAGCAUAGGUCACAACUGUGCCUGGGAUCUGAUAUCUAGCCUGGAAACUGCAUGUGCUGCAGGAAGACCAAAAAAGAAAAA
rnacentral:lncRNA from 1 species